CGUAAUAGCUCACUGGUCGAGUCGGCCUGCGCGGAAGAUGUAACGGGGCUAAACCAUGCACCGAAGCUGCGGCAGCGACACUGUGUGUUGUUGGGUAGGGGAGCGUUCUGUAAGCCUGUGAAGGUGUGUCGUGAGGCAUGCUGGAGGUAUCAGAAGUGCGAAUGCUGACAUAAGUAACGAUAAAGCGGGUGAAAAGCCCGCUCGCCGGAAGACCAAGGGUUCCUGUCCAACGUUAAUCGGGGCAGGGUGAGUCGACCCCUAAGGCGAGGCCGAAAGGCGUAGUCGAUGGGAAACGGGUUAAUAUUCCCGUACUUGGUGUUACUGCGAAGGGGGGACGGAGAAGGCUAUGUUGGCCGGGCGACGGUUGUCCCGGUUUAAGCGUGUAGGUGUGUGUUCCAGGUAAAUCCGGUUCACUUUAACACUGAGGCGUGACGACGAGGCACUACGGUGCUGAAGCAACAAAUGCCCUGCUUCCAGGAAAAGCCUCUAAGCAUCAGGUAACAUCAAAUCGUACCCCAAACCGACACAGGUGGUCAGGUAGAGAAUACCAAGGCGCUUGAGAGAACUCGGGUGAAGGAACUAGGCAAAAUGGUGCCGUAACUUCGGGAGAAGGCACGCUGACACGUAGGUGAAGUGAUUUACUCAUGGAGCUGAAGUCAGUCGAAGAUACCAGCUGGCUGCAACUGUUUAUUAAAAACACAGCACUGUGCAAACACGAAAGUGGACGUAUACGGUGUGACGCCUGCCCGGUGCCGGAAGGUUAAUUGAUGGGGUCAGCGCAAGCGAAGCUCCUGAUCGAAGCCCCGGUAAACGGCGGCCGUAACUAUAACGGUCCUAAGGUAGCGAAAUUCCUUGUCGGGUAAGUUCCGACCUGCACGAAUGGCGUAAUGAUGGCCAGGCUGUCUCCACCCGAGACUCAGUGAAAUUGAACUCGCUGUGAAGAUGCAGUGUACCCGCGGCAAGACGGAAAGACCCCGUGAACCUUUACUAUAGCUUGACACUGAACAUUGAGCCUUGAUGUGUAGGAUAGGUGGGAGGCUUUGAAGUGUGGACGCCAGUCUGCAUGGAGCCGACCUUGAAAUACCACCCUUUAAUGUUUGAUGUUCUAACGUGGACCCGUUACCCGGGUUGCGGACAGUGUCUGGUGGGUAGUUUGACUGGGGCGGUCUCCUCCUAAAGAGUAACGGAGGAGCACGAAGGUUGGCUAAUCCUGGUCGGACAUCAGGAGGUUAGUGCAAUGGCAUAAGCCAGCUUGACUGCGAGCGUGACGGCGCGAGCAGGUGCGAAAGCAGGUCAUAGUGAUCCGGUGGUUCUGAAUGGAAGGGCCAUCGCUCAACGGAUAAAAGGUACUCCGGGGAUAACAGGCUGAUACCGCCCAAGAGUUCAUAUCGACGGCGGUGUUUGGCACCUCGAUGUCGGCUCAUCACAUCCUGGGGCUGAAGUAGGUCCCAAGGGUAUGGCUGUUCGCCAUUUAAAGUGGUACGCGAGCUGGGUUUAGAACGUCGUGAGACAGUUCGGUCCCUAUCUGCCGUGGGCGCUGGAGAACUGAGGGGGGCUGCUCCUAGUACGAGAGGACCGGAGUGGACGCAUCACUGGUGUUCGGGUUGUCAUGCCAAUGGCACUGCCCGGUAGCUAAAUGCGGAAGAGAUAAGUGCUGAAAGCAUCUAAGCACGAAACUUGCCCCGA
rnacentral:rRNA from 1 species